GCGGGGAUAGCUCAGUUGGGAGAGCGUCAGACUGAAGUCGCAACUUCAAUCACUAAAUCUGAAGGUCGUGUGUUCGAUCCACACUCACCGCA